AUGAACGCUGGCGGCGUGCCUAACACCUGCAAGUCGAGCGAAGCACUUACUUUAGAUUUCUUCGGAAUGACGAAGUUUGUGACUGAGCGGCGGACGGGUGAGUAACGCGUGGGCAACCUGCCCUGUACAGGGGGAUAACAGUUAGAAAUGACUGCUAAUACCGCAUAAGCCCACAGCUUCGCAUGAAGCAGUGGGAAAAACUCCGGUGGUACAGGAUGGGCCCGCGUCUGAUUAGCUAGUUGGUAAGGUAACGGCUUACCAAGGCGACGAUCAGUAGCCGACCUGAGAGGGUGACCGGCCACAUUGGGACUGAGACACGGCCCAAACUCCUACGGGAGGCAGCAGUGGGGAAUAUUGCACAAUGGGGGAAACCCUGAUGCAGCGACGCCGCGUGAGCGAUGAAGUAUUUCGGUAUGUAAAGCUCUAUCAGCAGGGAAGAAAGUGACGGUACCUGACUAAGAAGCCCCGGCUAACUACGUG
rnacentral:rRNA from 1 species